CCUACGGGGGGCUGCAGUGGGGAAUUUUCCGCAAUGGGCGAAAGCCUGACGGAGCAAGACCGCGUGAGGGAGGAAGGCCUACUGGUUGUAAACCUCUUUUGAUAGGGAAGAAGGAAGUGACGGUACCUAUCGAAUCAGCAUCGGCUAACUCCGUGCCAGCAGCCGCGGUAAUACGGAGGAUGCAAGCGUUAUCCGGAAUUAUUGGGCGUAAAGCGUCCGUAGGUGGUUAUUCAAGUCAGCUGUCAAAGGAUGGAGCUUAACUCCAUAAAGGCAGU
rnacentral:rRNA from 1 species